GAUUAACGCUGGCGGCGUGCAUGAAACAUGCAAGUCGAGCGCAUCGCGUGCGGGAGUAAUCCUUCACGCGUUAAGCGGCGCACGGGUGAGUAACACGUGAGCAACCUACCUUCGAGUCUGGGAUAGCCCUGAGAAAUCAGGAUUAAUACCGGAUGUGGUCAUCGCAGGACAUCCUGUGAUGUGUAAAGGCGAAAGCCGCUCGGAGACGGGCUCGCGGCCUAUUAGCUUGUUGGUGGGGUAACGGCCUACCAAGGCGAUGAUGGGUAGCUG
rnacentral:rRNA from 1 species